rfam:Arabis alpina cultivar Pajares chromosome 4, whole genome shotgun sequence.
AAUUGAGCUUAGGUAGGAGGCAUAAAUGAAUCUUAAUCAUCAAUACUUUACUGUAUUGUUUUGAUUUUGAGGAGAAGCUUUUGCUUUUGCUCUCAAAUUAAGCUUCUUCUCAAGUAGCCUCAUACAUUC